UACAGAGGGUGCAAGCGUUAAUCGGAAUUACUGGGCGUAAAGCGCACGUAGGCGGUUAGUUAAGUCAGAUGUGAAAGCCCCGGGCUCAACCUGGGAAUUGCAUUUGAAACUGGCCAACUAGAGUACGUGAGAGGGGGGUAGAAUUCCAAGUGUAGCGGUGAAAUGCGUAGAGAUUUGGAGGAAUACCAGUGGCGAAGGCGGCCCCCUGGCACGAUACUGACGCUCAGGUGCGAAAGCGUGGGGAGCAAACAGG
rnacentral:rRNA from 1 species